GUGCCCGACGCGCGACGCGCAGCUCGUGCCGCGUCGGGCCUACCCCGCGGGCUCCCUCAGCCUCGCGUCCCUCGGCACCCGGACCGCGUCUCGCACCCCCGGUGCCCUCAGAGCCCUCCCGUCCCCGCAGGGGCAGACUCACUGCCCUCAGCGUCACUGAAAGGCCACCAUAAGAGAAGAGAGCAAUUAAUGAGAUGAUUCCUGGUACUUUUUCCACUCAGGUCUUUCACAUGCAAGAAUGUGUGUAUAAAAGGAAACACCAAGAGAACAGUAGCUACAGAUCAGUCUUCUAAGUAAUACA